AUCUGGGCGUAAGCGCACGCAGGCGGUUUGUUAAGCUAGAUGUGAAAGCCCCGGGCUCAACCUGGGACGGUCAUUUAGAACUGGCAGACUAGAGUCUUGGAGAGGGGAGUGGAAUUCCAGGUGUAGCGGUGAAAUGCGUAGAUAUCUGGAGGAACAUCAGUGGCGAAGGCGACUCCCUGGCCAAAGACUGACGCUCAUGUGCGAAAGUGUGGGUAGCGAACAGGAUUAGAUACCCUGGUAGUCCACACCGUAAACGCUGUCUACUAGCUGUUUGUGGCUUUAAGCCGUGAGUAGCGAAGCUAACGCGAUAAGUAGACCGCCUGGGGAGUACGGCCGCAAGGUUAAAACUCAAAUGAAUUGACGGGGGCCCGCACAAGCGGUGGAGCAUGUGGUUUAAUUCGAUGCAACGCGAAGAACCUUACCUACACUUGACAUGUUGAGAAGUUAC
rnacentral:rRNA from 1 species